CCUCGCAACAAAUUUUGUAAAUAUUCUGUGGGGGCUUGGUCCUGAAACAUAAACACUUCUUCCUAUUGAGUCUCUGAGGAAAACCAGAUCCCCUCAUUUAUUAUGUGAUAUCCAGAAGGCUAAGGACAUUUUGAUCUCCUUUUUCAGGAACAUCUUCUUCAGUAAGAAAAAUGAAAUGUCAUCAUGCUAAGAGAUUUGGACCAGCUUUAUAAAUUAAACAGUACGCGAUGACAGCUUAGGGGCGGUAAGUAAACCAUUCAGCAGAUAAUCUCCAUAGUAACAAAAAAAAA